UCCAGCCUGUCCAGAUCCCUCUGUAGGGCCUUGCUGCCCCCAAGUUAUGCUUCAAAAAGCUGAUAAAAACAUUGUGGAGCCAAAUGCAAGGGUGUUUUAAGAAACCACCGCUAAAGGAACGAGUUUUUGCAAAUCAAUAAAGGCCUAUGAGCAGCUGUAGCAGAGGUGGAUCUGAAGGGCUUUGUGUGGUUAUCUCCUUUGUGCACAAGGCACGAAUGUGAGGUCACCCCUGUAUGUAUGGAUCUGUUAAAUCAGCAUGUUCAGUAAAGCAUACGGCCAGCCCAGAGCAGGCGACAGCACAAGAAGAUUCCUUAUUUAGUGCUGUACCUCAAUGCGUGCCACAUCUGUACGUUGCUAGGAAUAUGUAUGCCCAACUUUUCCACAAGCAUUUUUCAAUGUUUAAAGUGCGAGGCAGAACAUUAUGCCACUAAGACCAAAGUUCAGAUCUGCAGUGGUUGUUAAACACAAUGAUCCGUGUGAUUGGGUGAGGGAAGUUGUAUGGCAGAAUGCUGGAGACACGUGGUAAUUGUGGAAAGGUUCAUCAGUGGGAAGUUUCACCCAUGUAUACAUUUCUGUAGGCACCCACUGGUGAGCACCAAGAGCUCAUUGGAUGCCUUUUCCCUUGCACUUACUGUGGCAGUUCUUGGGCAAGAGCUGUCAGAUGCUUUAUUAAAAUUUAUUAAUCAAAAAUCUGUGUAUGCAGCAUUCUGGGCCUUUUGCAAGGCUUGUUAAUGCUUGUAUGUGGAUAAAUUUGUUUUAAGUUGAGUCAUUAGUGCCAUUUUUGUUCUUCCAAAGAAUUCUACCUGUGUCAAGCCAGAGGUGAUUCUAAGUACCUUCCAACUAAACACAUGAUGAUAUCUGACAUGAUUACUGUAACAGAUGAGAUUUUUCAUUAGAGGGUGGCAUUCGAGUACCACAUUCUUGUGUUAUGCUCUGUUUAGCUUCAGACAAGAAGAAAAAAUUCUAAUUAUUUAAUUUAUAGAAACCACAGAAGGUGACAAUCUUUCUUUUUAACUUCUGUGCAGUGCAUCCAGUCUGUGCAGAGCCAUUUGUACCCUUGGGAAGCAUCAGUGCAAGAAAACAAGGACAAGCUUCACUUCAGCUGUGAAUAAGUUUUCAGAUAAAUCUGGAUUUAAAAAUGACAUUCCUACAGACUUCAUUCAAAGCCAAGACUCAAAACUCUUCAUAGCUUUCACGUGUUUACAAAAGAACAAAUACUGCAUAAAUACCACAUGGAUCUUACUUGAGGCUGAAAAUAAGAGAUACCUUAUUUGGCAGUGCAUUACACCAGUUGGAGGGUCAGACGGAAGUAACAAGCACCGAGGUUAACUAAAAAGGCUCAUCUUGCACACAGUCAGGGUGCUCUGUGGGCUGGAAAAACCUUUAUUGAAAGGUGAACUUUGGCAAACUUCUCCCCAGUGGGUCAGAAGACACUGCAAGGCAAUCUGUCAUCACACUGCAAGGGCAUACUCAAGACCAGUGUUGAGACCAAAUAGGCGUAUGAGAAGAAGCCUUUAAGAAGUAUUUUUAAAGCUUAUCUUAUUUCAGGAUUUAUAAUAUUUAAAUUUCCAUUGAUGGUAAAUAUGCUUAUCAAUCCAAUUUUACUGUUUCAUAUUCUUAUUAUAGAUGUACAUUAUGCCGUGAUUCUCACAUAGUAAGUAUGUUUGUAUGUGAAUAAAAGUGGCAAGUUAUCAGUUAUUUUGCAAGUAAGACACUCAGAGGUUAGGUUUCAACUUACAAUAUUGAAAUACAGUAUUCCAAUUAAAAAUAUAUAUAUCUGCCUUUAACUUCUUUAUCUUUUAGUUCUACUCAAAUGAAAAGGAGUACUGAGCAACCCAGGCCUGAUUUUGAAAGCAAAGUCUGCCUUUUAACUUUCACUCUUCUAUUCAUACUUCCCUAUCCUACACUACUCACCAAGAAUGAGGGCUAUUUUCCAAAGUCCUGCACUGUCAACAUCCCACUAAUAGAUUCAUAUAAGUAAUGAUAAUGAUGUAGUGAAAUCUAAACUUCAUUUAUUUUGGUAAUUUUAAUAAUGGUAGUUCAUAAUGUUGUAGAUGUCAAGUUUGCACUUAGAUUGUGCUAAAUCCAAAGCUUUAAAUUCAGUGCUGUAAUUUAACUCUGCCAAAAGUGAAAGCAGAGCAGGUGGAUUGAGUGUCAUGAUUUGAAAAUUUGUACAAUGUUUUUGAGUGCCUGAGCACCUUCAGAUAGUGCUGAGUUCAGCUUCUGAAACUCUUGCCAGUUUUUGACGUUUGAGAGCUAAACUAAAACCAAACUAGAAUUCACUAUUUUUUUUCUUUUAUGAGGUUAUGAAAUCAGUAAAUUCUGUUAUGAUAGAAUAUAAACGUUGUAACAAAUCCCAGUUGCAGAUAGACACUAUUCUAUGAGAUGGCUUUGCUGUAGAAGCCAAGAAUAGUCAAUAAGAUUAAAAACUCAUAAAGUUGUCACGUUCCAGAUAAGAGACCAGCUUUGCUUUGUCUUUUGCUCCCCAAAAGCUUGCAGAGUUUAUUGUAUUUCUGCAGAUAUUGUUAGCACAACCUUCACCUUUCAUCAGACUGUUCUAUGACCUCAUCCAGAGAUCUGUAGCUGCAGUGUGAUUAAGUCACGUGCCAGUGUAAUGUGACUGAAGGAAGAAUCCUGUUUUCUUGUCCUGUGGUUGGGAGAGGAAACAUUUCACUAUACAAGAACUGUCAGACAUCAUAAACUCAACUAUGUAGGUCACACUGAAAGUAGUGCCUCCUAUUUUUUUCCAUGGAAACUACAACAGAUGCAAGGAGCACAGUAACACUACUUGAUAGAGCAAAUUCUCAGUUACAAAACACUAUUUUUCAACUAUUUUUCAAGAAGCAUGUCAAUGGCUGCAAUUUUUUUCCAUGUGAAAUUCAGUUCCACUCUUUUGCUUCGUCCACACUUCCAUGUCAGAUGCCAUUCUGUCAGACUGCUCCUCUGCUGCCACCUGUCACAGCAACAAAAUGUAACAGAAUAUUUGUGGGAAUGUGUAAGUACUGCCAUUCCACCAACAUCUGCUUCUGAUGUCAGGGACCAACACAAUAAAAUAAGAGGCAAUACUUUUUGAGCAUCCCUCAUACAGUAGCUGAAACUCCAUAGAGCUGACUAUUUUUAAAAAUUUUACAGGGACUGGAGUAAUGGGUGAUCACAUACAGAAGUGACUGUGGCACUGUAACUGCAGGCCAAACUCCAUAGGAAAGCUUCACUGCAGUUUUUGAAUAAUUGGCAAAGUUGAACUCAUAAGCUGGCAAACACCUUCAGGAGACAAUGGACUUCAAUUAGAAUCAAGGAGUUGGCCACAUAAGCAGAUCAAAGGCUUUUUGAAAGAAAGGGAUUAUUUCCUGAAUGCUUCAAGUGCAUAGCAACAUGAUGUAAUUCGUAACAUAAAUGCAAUUCCUGGAUGUUCCUCUUAUCCAGGAGCUUGACAGGAUGUGCAGCUACUAUGAAUGGACUGGUGGUAUUUCAGCAGGGAGGCAGUGUUCCACUGAGCAGCACCAGCCCUGUAACACUGAAGAUGUGCCAGACUUGGGCAAUAAAAGGGACCUUGUUCUGCUUCAGCUCCAGCCUUGUCCAGCAUCAUGCAGUGACACUUGGAAAUCUUCCAAGAACUUGUGUCACAGGCUCUGCUGGAGCAGAGGACAAAGUAACCUAACUACUACCUAGCUUUGUGCUGUAACAAAGCUGUUCCCACGUGUGCCAGUUUAGAAAGUUACAACUGAAUAUAAAAACAUUUUAAAACAUCUCUAUCCAAAGACAUGUAUGAAAUGCAAGCUGCUGUUUUUUUCCACUGCGAAAUUUAAAUGAAGAAUACAAACAGCAGAUGAAAUUUGGUUUAAGAGAGUACCAAGGAAGGAGGAAAAGGUCUGAUGGUUUGACAGUUUUGAUGCAGUCUGGGAAGUUAACCAUGUUAACCAUGAGGCUGCUAAACCUCACUGCUUUACCAGCCUUCAUUCAAGAACCUGUUUGGUAAGUCAAAGCUGCCCCGAGAAAUGUCAGCAGUUCAUGGAGUUCAGUGGCUGAGAGACACGUAGAGGUACAUUCACAAAAUGUUCUUCAGUGCCUUUGGCCAGAGUGCACAUGGAGGAAGGGCACUGCUGUCCAGGUCUGAUAGAGUGGUUAACUCCAAAACAUACCAAGUAAGCAUGGUGUGACUACAGCCUCGCUAGGCAGUGCCUGUAACCACUGUAGACCCAUGAAUGACCUACUUUCAUAAGCAUUACACUGAAGUUCAAUCACUGAUUUUGCAUGAGGUCAAGCUGUUCCCCUCUCCUUUGCAAACUGAAGCUUCCUCAAACAGGGAAAAAUCAGUAGUAUGCCACCUCUCAUUUUAUCUAUCAGACUACCACAGGAAAGCAGCUUUUAAUUUCCCUCUUCUUCCUUGUAAAUGCAUAUUAGAUGUUACUUUAAGAGUGAAACAACAUACCAUUAGAUAUCUUUUCUGGUGUCAUUUCUAAGUAAGCUUUGUUAAAUUAAUCAUGAUAAUGCACUGGUGCCUCAGUCUCUUCAGCAACAGCAUAAAUCAUGAAUUGUCUAGUUUCAUACACACUGAUGGAGAGCCUGGCUGCCUGCUUCCCACUCACAUGUCCAGAGUAGACUUCUGUUACAUUUAUCAGUCACAGACGUACAAAACAUAUAUGGGUGACAGCAUAGAGCAAAGGCUCAGAAACUGCUGGAGAAGAAGCAUAUAAUAAAGGCAAAUGGUAAGUUAGCAACUCUAUCACCUUUUCUCCCCUGAGAAGUUAGUCUGAUAUUAGUUUAGCCCUGUCUUUUUUUUUUUUUUUUUUCUGGAAUGAUUUUAAAUUCAUGAGAGAUAUAAGAAACCCUCAUUUUGUUUCCUUAAUCUUGCUGUUGACCAGCCUACUUGGUCCAAUGGGCUGUAGUGUUGCAUUAAAUAAGGUCAGUGAUGUUUUAAGAUGUACUCUUUUUUUCUCUCUUUUUUUUUUUUUUCCUACUUUGUGUACCUGAGGGAACUGUACACAGUAAAUAUUGUUAAUGCAUAUAUUUCUGUGAGUUUGAAGUGGAUAUGGUCUCAAGAAACCUGCAGGACUUAGUUUUAAGUAAGGUUUUCUUAUCUCUCCUGUUUUGUGGUUUACAGAAUGUUUGGUAGCAGAGGCCUGUAUUCAUUUAACGGUAUUUAUGUAGCUAGCAAAAAUAUCUUAGCACCUACCACUACUCUGUGUAUGAAACCAUUGUCCCUUUUGACUGCUUAUUAGCUCCUAACAGUGUUUGAUUCAAAUUCUGUACCCCACCAUUAUCCUUUAAACAGACAGUCCUCUUCUUUCCAUAGAAAACUGAUAAUAAAUUUUCCAUUGUUUCUCAUCA